rnacentral:other from 1 species
UUUAUUCUGGGAUGUUGGUAGGAUUCAGUAAAAUUCAACCUACAAUACUGAUUCGGGAGAUAAUAUUUUUAAUAGGACGAAAUGCCUCCUUUGAGUGGACUUCGAAGUUUUAAAAUGUUACACCCACCUUGCGAGAGCGAGGGCGUGAAUUUUGCGGCUUACGGCAUCUUGGAUAAACU